rnacentral:rRNA from 1 species
UGAGGAAUAUUGGUCAAUGGACGCAAGUCUGACGGAGCAACGCCGCGUGAGUGAAGAAGGCUUUCGGUUCGUAAAACUCUGUUGUUAGGGAAGAAAAAAUGUAUAGUAACUAUAUACAAAAGAGACGGUACCUAACCAGAAAGCCACGGCUAACUACGUGCCAGCAGCCGCGGUAAUACGUAGGUGGCAAGCGUUGUCCGGAAUUAUUGGGCGUAAAGCGCGCGCAGGUGGUUUAGAAAGUCUGAUGUGAAAGCCCACGGCUCAACCGUGGAGGGUCAUUGGAAACUAAUAAACUUGAGUGCAGGAGAGAAAAGUGGAAUUCCUAGUGUAGCGGUGAAAUGCGUAGAGAUUAGGAGGAACACCGGUGGCGAAAGCGGCUUUUUGGCCUGCAACUGACACUGAGGCGCGAAAGCGUGGGGAGCAAACAGG